GAUGAACGCUAGCGGCAGGCCUAAUACAUGCAAGUCGAACGGAUAUAUGUUUUUCGGAAUAUAUAUUAGUGGCGCACGGGUGAGUAACACGUACAUAACUUGCCCUCAAGCGGGGGAUAGCCUUGGGAAACUGAGAGUAAUACCCCAUAGAAUUAUUGGACGGCAUCGUUUGAUAAUUAAAACUACGGUGUUUGGGGAUAGAUGUGCGUCUGAUUAGCUAGUUGGUGAGGUAACUGCUCACCAAGGCGACGAUCAGUAGGGGGCGUGAGAGCGUGGCCCCCCACACGGGUACUGAGACACGGACCCGACUCCUACGGGAGGCAGCAGUAAGGAAUAUUGGUCAAUGGAGGGAACUCUGAACCAGCCAUGCCGCGUGAAGGAUGACGGCCCUCUGGGUUGUAAACUUCUUUUGGAUGGGGCGAAAAAACGGGAUUUAUACCUGGACUGACGGUACCAUCAGAAUAAGCACCGGCUAACUCCGUG
rnacentral:rRNA from 1 species